UCGAGAAUCUUCGGCAGUGGGCGAAAGCCUGACCGAGCGACGCCGCGUGCGGGACGAAGGCCUUCGGGUUGUAAACCGCUGUCGGGAGGGAUGAAGUGCACGGGGGCUAUCCCCUGUGUUUGACAGAGCUCCGGAGGAAGCACGGGCUAAGUUCGUGCCAGCAGCCGCGGUAAUACGAACUGUGCGAACGUUAUUCGGAAUCACUGGGCUUAAAGGGUGCGUAGGCGGCGCUGUAAGUCAGGUGUGAAAUCCCCCGGCUCAACCGGGGAAUGGCGCUUGAAACUGCAGUGCUUGAGUGAGGUAGGGGUGCAUGGAACUUCCGGUGGAGCGGUGAAAUGUGUAGAUAUCGGAAGGAACGCCGGCGGCGAAAGCGGUGCACUGGGCCUUGUCUGACGCUGAGGCACGAAAGCUAGGGUAGCGAACG
rnacentral:rRNA from 1 species